rnacentral:lncRNA from 1 species
AGGAGGAGCAAUCCACUAUAAAUCCAUCCCGAAAAAUAGGUACAAUAUGAGGUAUAAAAUACCUUUAUCCGAAACCAACAAGAAGGCAACAAAAUAUCGAAUAGAAGGCAACCAAGAUCCAAUCGGAUCAACCAAUCUCAGCCUCGGCAAUAGAUCAAGAUAAAACAAUACCUGAGAUGAAGAUACCUUCCUCAACCCUCGACAAAAAAUCAAGAUGAAUACCUCCUUACCAACCGAAGCAGCACAAGGCAUCCGUGAAACCG